UCGGCAGCUCUGAGCCAGCUACGGGCGGUCCCCGUCCUGUCUGAACCAGACUGUCCCUGCAGUGCCAGCGCGGGAGGAAGGCAGGGACAGGCCGGCUGGGAGGAGACCCUUCGUGUCUGUGACGGGGAGCUCAGGGUGCGCACGCACCGCACAGUGAGGUCCCCCUCUCCAGGGCACUGCCACAGCCCUGUCCUGGCUCUUCGGUCCCCACCAGUCUAUCCACACGGCAGACCGGGCGCUUUGGAGAUGUGGCCAUAAGGGAAUUCCAAGUGUGACAUACACUGUGGGAGCAGAAAUUGGAGGCGGCACAUCUGGGACUGCGUGCUGACCAACUCGGACCAACUUUUAAUUAACACAUUGACCCGGCGAAGAAGCAGCCGCCCAGCCUCCCCCUCGAAAUAUGUAUAUUAGCCGCGCGGAAGCCGCUCGGCCCGCGCCGCCAGGUGCGUGCGAGGAAUUGCCUGCAUCGAGGGGCGGGAGGGGGUGCAGAUUGCAAGCGCUCGCUCUCUUCCAGCUAACAUUUUCUCGCCUUCCCUCUAGGAAAACAAAGAAAAAAGAGUGAGUGACCGGCUCCAGAAGCAGGCAUCUUAUAUCCUUUAAUGUGACUUGACUUGACCCUGGGCGGGGAACUUAGGAGAAUGGAAGGGAAGACUCUGGAAUCAUUUCUAAUCAGCCUAACCUGGGCUUAUUGGGUCUGAGCUGAGAUGGAGCCUGAGUUCUUUAAAUGGUCCAAGUUCUCUGUGAAUGAAGAGAAGCGGUGGCCAAGAAGCCUGGUGGCAGGAGAGACCCGGCCAACGGCUGCCUUUUGUGGUUCUGGCCUUCCUGCUUCCAACCUCCUCCCCUGCGCCACGGGCUCCCGGAAGGAAAACCGCAAACUCUCGCAGGCCCUGGGUCUGGGGACCGGGAAUAGGGGUCCCCCCUGCCUGGAGCGCACUGCAGGCAGGAAGCAGAAGGGAAUCUAUGGCUAGUGUUGGGCUCUAGGCCCAGUGGCCGAGUCUAGAGUGUUCCGGGGUGAUCUUCUAGCCAGGCCAGUCACAUCCCGGCUGGAGGGAGGAGGAAACCCGGAACGCUCCCCGACGAUGCCACCUGCAGAAACAUGCAAUUUCACCCUGAGUAAUUUCAUUCAGAAUGGAUGGCGUCUCACUGGACUGGUGCCUUCAAAGUGAGUGCCUCGCCGGCUUCCCCGUAGAGCACAAAUGCGGGUUAAUCCCCAGAUACGUACUCAUUUUCUUUUUCCGCAUCUAAUCUCCACGGACUCGCUCUUCCAAGUGCUUAGCUGCAGCAUACAUCCCUAUAAAAAAAAAAUGUCAAAGCGGUAUUCCUUCUCCCAGCCAUAAAAAAGUUGGAGCGAAUCGCUCCCAAGUUACCGUUUAACGUCCCCUCCAGGUAACAGUUGAAGUUUCUUGUUUGACAUUUUUCAUUCCCCAAUACAGAACUUUUCAAUAAAUAUGUAGUACCAGCGCGAGCAGAAGUAUAUGUCGCAAUAAAUUCAUGGCUGUAUGCUCUA